GACGAACGCUGGCGGCGUGCUUAACACAUGCAAGUCGAGCGGUAAGGCCCUUUCGGGGGUACGACGAGCGGCGAACGGGUGAGUAACACGUGGGUGACCUGCCCUCCAGCUCUGGGAUAAGCCUGGGAAACCGGGGUCUAAUACCGGAUAUGACUCCAUGACGCAUGUUGUGGGGUGGAAAGCCUUGUGCGGCUGAGGAUGGGCCCG
rnacentral:rRNA from 1 species